rnacentral:lncRNA from 1 species
UAACAUUGAUAUUUUUUUUAAAUAUAUUUAUGUGUAUAUGUUACUUUGUUUAUUUAAAAUGGGAAAGGAUAAAGUUAAUUUAUGUUUCUUGAAUAAAUGGAAAUUAAUUUAAAGCACAGCUGAAUAAAUAGCCGAUUACACUCUGUAUAUGCACCGAACAGAUAACACCUUGAUGACAGGUGAUUUAUUUUCAGCAUGAUAUAUUUAUACUGUCUUUGGGACAGCACUUGAUAUACAGACAGCCUUUGGAGCGUAUGUCAGGUGGUCACCCUUUGGGGGUAGCUCUGCACAUGUGUAUGACCAGUUUGGUGAUCUACUCGGCAGUCCUCAUCUUCUUGUUUGUCCUUCCUUCCAUAUCGUCCACUCAGAGUCUAGAGGAGGCCGGACUAAUCCUAAGUUUUUUUUUGUCUUUUCUUUUUGUACUUUUGAUAGAUCAUGUAUAGAUUGUACAGCCUAGUGGAAAAUGUAUUUUGUAAAUAUUUUAUGAAUUGACAGGUCUAACUAUCAGUUUUUCUCUUUUAUGCUUAAUGUUUUGGAAUUAUAGCAGGUUACCUGUUUUUAUAUUAUAAAUAUCAGGGGAGGUUCUGUCAGUUUUCCUGGUCAUAUCCAUCUUUACAGUUUUGGGUUUGGGUGUGACAAUUUCUCUACUGAUGGACUUGCCGCCAUUGCUGCUAAUUGCAGGUUUUCGUUUUUUCCUCUUCUCCACUCUUGAAGCAUUCUUUUCCACUUAAACCAUGAUUGUUGGGUUGUGUGUGGUUGACGAAGAAAUGUGGUUUAGGAGGGGAAGAGGGGAAAUGG